UGAGGCAGAGUGUUAGAAAGAAGCUUGUGCAUGGACUGACGACUGCGGGGCUGUGCAAACUACCUGGGGGAGUCACUUUGCCACUUCUUGAGGGCUUCCAAGUGGCAGAUUGGGGUGCUUGCUUGGGUUUCCAAAUCUUGUAACAUUUGCAGAAGCAGCAUCAUUAAAUCUGAGCUAGGAGUAUGCAUCUGAACUGCCUGCUGGUCCAAGAAGGCAUUCCUCUAGAAAAGUACAGAAGAUCACUUUCGGAACAUGAAUGAGCAGAUGUUGUGUGAAGAAGUGGACCAAGAAUGUUGACCUCACCUCUUCCUUUGAGACAAAGGAACAACCAAUGCAACUGACUGGAAUCUGAAGAAGGCCAUCUGAAAUACUCAAGAUUUUUUUUUUAUGAUAUGUGAUUAUAUAUGGGCUUCCAUGCAAGUAUUGACUGCACAAUUCACUUCGUUGUAAGGGUCUGUUCCAAAAGACGUGCAGAACCCAGUGCAAAACACUGUGUGCACAUCAGAGCUCUGUAUCCUUAACCCAAACUAAGGUCACUAGCAGCCUGCAAGCUUCAUUCGGGUGGUCUGUGAAGAACAGCAGGAGCAGCAACUGCAGGGGGCAGGCACAUUCAUUCUGAUCUUUAGUUUUCUCUUUAUUGCUUCUUUUGCUUCUUAGGUUCUUAAUGUGAUUUAUUAUUGUAUUUUACAUUGUAUUUUAUGGAAUUCAAAUUGUAAUGCAGUGAGAUGGAAUGUAAGAAGUAAAAUAAGCAAUAAACAGACAAUUAAAAAUCAUAUAACAUCUAGCACAUCAUGUUACAGUCCAUGGCACGGGCACUACCCCAUCUUGGGGGUUGACCAAACCAAGUUGAGUACCUGGAUUCCUUUAAUGGAAUACCUUUCACAUAGGGAUGGCGAGACCGU